rnacentral:lncRNA from 1 species
GUGGGAGGGCACGACUGCUGGAUGCUUCUUCAGAGCACAGAUGGAUUUUGCAGUCUUGGCAAGACUUCGUUAAAAAAGCAGCACCCCACGUAGAGGAGAGGAAGCCAAAGGAUGCUCUGUUGUCUGAUGUGCUAUGGAGAGCUGUUGGUCAGAUUACGGACUUGAGAAUAGAAGGGAAGAGUGAGAGCAAAGCAGCCGAGAAGCUGUAGCAAUGAC